rnacentral:rRNA from 1 species
UACGGAGGAGGCAAGCGUUAUCCGGAUUUAUUGGGCGUAAAGCGUCCGCAGGUGGCAGUUCAAGUCUGCUGUCAAAGACAGUGGCUCAACUACUGAAAGGCAGCAAAUACUGAGCAGCUAGAGUGCGGUAGGGGCAGAGGGAAUUCCCGGUGUAGCGGUGAAAUGCGUAGAUUUCGGGAAGAACAUCGGUGGCGAAAGCGCUCUGCUGGACCGCAACUGACACUCAGGGACGAAAGCUAGGGGAGCGAAUGGG